UACGUAGGGGGCAAGCGUUGUCCGGAUUUAUUGGGCGUAAAGAGCGUGUAGGCGGUUUGGUAGGUCCGCUGUGAAAACUCGAGGCUCAACCUCGAGACGCCGGUGGAAACCAUCAGGCUAGAGUCCGGAAGAGGAGAGUGGAAUUCCUGGUGUAGCGGUGAAAUGCGCAGAUAUCAGGAAGAACACCCGUGGCUAAGGCGGCUCUCUGGGACGGUACUGACGCUGAGACGCGAAAGCGUGGGGAGCAAACAGG
rnacentral:rRNA from 1 species